rnacentral:lncRNA from 1 species
CGAUUACCGAAGAUGCUUAAACUCAAUCUUUCCAGAACCAAGAAAAUGAAGAUGAGGACUUUGCGUACAUGGGGAAGAUGAGCCAAGAGCAGAAGAUCUUGCCUGUUCUUCAUCUCCCACUCACACAAAUGGUUUGAGAGUUGGACUCGGAAACACAGCAUUUAUCAGCAGGAGGUUUGGAAAAGGUGAGAAAAACACCAGCCUUUCCUGCUUCAAGUGGAUGCAAUUAAAUUCACAU